GCCAGCAUAGCGCAGUGGUUUGAGUGUUGGACUACCACUCUGGAGACCUGGGUUUGAUUCCUCACUGUGUCA
rnacentral:tRNA from 1 species